AACCAGCACCUCAAGUGGUCAGGAUGAUUAUUGGGCCUAAAGCAUCCGUAGCCGGCUCUGUAAGUUUUCGGUUAAAUCUGUACGCUCAACGUACAGGCUGCCGGGAAUACUGCAGAGCUAGGGAGUGGGAGAGGUAGACGGUACUCGGUAGGAAGGGGUAAAAUCCUUUGAUCUAUUGAUGACCACCUGUGGCGAAGGCAGUGCUCUGGGCCGGUACUGACGCUGAGGAGCGAAAGCAUGGGGAGCAAACAGG
rnacentral:rRNA from 1 species